rnacentral:rRNA from 1 species
GACGGAGGAUGCAAGCGUUAUCCGGAAUUAUUGGGCGUAAAGCGUCCGCAGGUGGCUGUUCAAGUCUGCUGUCAAAGCGCAGAGCUUAACUCUGUACAGGCGGUGGAAACUGAAGAGCUAGAGUAUGGUAGGGGUAGAGGGAAUUCCCGGUGUAGCGGUGAAAUGCGUAGAUAUCGGGAAGAACACCAGUGGCGAAAGCGCUCUACUGGGCCAUAACUGACACUGAGGCACGAAAGCUAGGGGAGCAAACAGG